UGCUUACAACAUAGUGUUAAUGCAUUAGAUCCCAUUAUAACUCCACAUUUAAGUGCACUUGGGCUAGAGUAGUAUUGGGAUGGGUGACCACCCAGGAAGUCCUAGUGUUUUACACAC
rnacentral:rRNA from 1 species